GAAUGCUGACAUAAGUAACGAUAAAGCGGGUGAAAAGCCCGCUCGCCGGAAGACCAAGGGUUCCUGUCCAACGUUAAUCGGGGCAGGGUGAGUCGACCCCUAAGGCGAGGCCGAAAGGCGUAGUCGAUGGGAAACGGGUUAAUAUUCCCGUACUUGGUGUUACUGCGAAGGGGGGACGGAGAAGGCUAUGUUGGCCGGGCGACGGUUGUCCCGGUUUAAGCGUGUAGGUGUGUGUUCCAGGUAAAUCCGGUUCACUUUAACACUGAGGCGUGAUGACGAGGCACUACGGUGCUGAAGCAACAAAUGCCCUGCUUCCAGGAAAAGCCUCUAAGCAUCAGGUAACAUCAAAUCGUACCCCAAACCGACACAGGUGGUCAGGUAGAGAAUACCAAGGCGCUUGAGAGAACUCGGGUGAAGGAACUAGGCAAAAUGGUGCCGUAACUUCGGGAGAAGGCACGCUGACACGUAGGUGAAGUGAUUUACUCACGGAGCUGAAGUCAGUCGAAGAUACCAGCUGGCUGCAACUGUUUAUUAAAAACACAGCACUGUGCAAACACGAAAGUGGACGUAUACGGUGUGACGCCUGCCCGGUGCCGGAAGGUUAAUUGAUGGGGUCAGCGCAAGCGAAGCUCCUGAUCGAAGCCCCGGUAAACGGCGGCCGUAACUAUAACGGUCCUAAGGUAGCGAAAUUCCUUGUCGGGUAAGUUCCGACCUGCACGAAUGGCGUAAUGAUGGCCAGGCUGUCUCCACCCGAGACUCAGUGAAAUUGAACUCGCUGUGAAGAUGCAGUGUACCCGCGGCAAGACGGAAAGACCCCGUGAACCUUUACUAUAGCUUGACACUGAACAUUGAGCCUUGAUGUGUAGGAUAGGUGGGAGGCUUUGAAGUGUGGACGCCAGUCUGCAUGGAGCCGACCUUGAAAUACCACCCUUUAAUGUUUGAUGUUCUAACGUGGACCCGUUACCCGGGUUGCGGACAGUGUCUGGUGGGUAGUUUGACUGGGGCGGUCUCCUCCUAAAGAGUAACGGAGGAGCACGAAGGUUGGCUAAUCCUGGUCGGACAUCAGGAGGUUAGUGCAAUGGCAUAAGCCAGCUUGACUGCGAGCGUGACGGCGCGAGCAGGUGCGAAAGCAGGUCAUAGUGAUCCGGUGGUUCUGAAUGGAAGGGCCAUCGCUCAACGGAUAAAAGGUACUCCGGGGAUAACAGGCUGAUACCGCCCAAGAGUUCAUAUCGACGGCGGUGUUUGGCACCUCGAUGUCGGCUCAUCACAUCCUGGGGCUGAAGUAGGUCCCAAGGGUAUGGCUGUUCGCCAUUUAAAGUGGUACGCGAGCUGGGUUUAGAACGUCGUGAGACAGUUCGGUCCCUAUCUGCCGUGGGCGCUGGAGAACUGAGGGGGGCUGCUCCUAGUACGAGAGGACCGGAGUGGACGCAUCACUGGUGUUCGGGUUGUCAUGCCAAUGGCACUGCCCGGUAGCUAAAUGCGGAAGAGAUAAGUGCUGAAAGCAUCUAAGCACGAAACUUGCCCCGAG
rnacentral:rRNA from 1 species